AAACUAACAAGGAUUCCCCUAGUAGCGGCGAGCGAAGCGGGAAGAGCUCAAAUUUGUAAUCUGGCAGCAAUGUCCGAGUUGUAAUCUAUAGAGUCGUUUUCGGUGCCGGACCGCGUCCAAGUCCCUUGGAACAGGGUAUCAAAGAGGGUGACAAUCCCGUACUUGACGCGACCACCGGGGCUGUGUGAUACGAUUUCUACGAGUCGAGUUGUUUGGGAAUGCAGCUCUAAAUGGGUGGUAAAUUCCAUCUAAAGCUAAAUAUUGGCGAGAGACCGAUAGCGAACAAGUACCGUGAGGGAAAGAUGAAAAGCACUUUGGAAAGAGAGUUAAAAGUACGUGAAAUUGUUGAAAGGGAAACGAUUGAAGUCAGUCGUGCGGCUUGGUUUCAGCGGGUUCUGCCCGUGCAUUACCAUUUCGCGGGUCAACAUCGGUUAGGUCUGGCGGAAAAAGGCAGGGGGAAGGUGGCACCCUCGGGUGUGUUAUAGCCCCUUGUUGCAUAUGCUGGGUCUGACCGAGGACUGCGGUGUGCCUUUAUGGCAGGUCUUUUGAC
rnacentral:rRNA from 1 species